UACGUAGGGUGCAAGCGUUGUCCGGAAUUAUUGGGCGUAAAGAGCUCGUAGGCGGCCUGUUGCGUCCGCUGUGAAAUCCCAGGGCUCAACCCUGGGCGUGCAGUGGAUACGGGCAGGCUGGAGGCAGGCAGGGGAGAACGGAAUUCCCGGUGUAGCGGUGAAUGCGCAGAGUAUCGGGAGGAACGACCGGUGGCGAAGGCGGUUCUCUGGGCCUGUACUGACGCUGAGGAGCGAAAGCGUGGGGAGCGAACAGG
rnacentral:rRNA from 1 species